UACGUAGGUGACAAGCGUUAUCCGGAAUUACUGGGCGUAAAGCGCACGCAGGCGGCGGCGUCAGUCUGACGUGAAAUCUCCCGGCUUAACUGGGAGGGGUCGUUGGAAACUACGUCGCUUGAGGCGAGGAGAGGGGUGUGGAAUUCCCGGUGUAGUGGUGGAAUGCGUAGAUAUCGGGAGGAACAUCAGUGGCGAAAGCGGCUCACUGGACCGUCUCUGACGCUGAGGUGCGAAAGCCAGGGUAGCGAACGGG
rnacentral:rRNA from 1 species